rnacentral:rRNA from 1 species
AAAUUGAAGAGUUUGAUCAUGGCUCAGAUUGAACGCUGGCGGCAGGCCUAACACAUGCAAGUCGAACGGUAACAGGAAGCAGCUUGCUGUUUCGCUGACGAGUGGCGGACGGGUGAGUAAUGUCUGGGAAACUGCCUGAUGGAGGGGGAUAACUACUGGAAACGGUAGCUAAUACCGCAUAACGUCGCAAGACCAAAGAGGGGGACCUUCGGGCCUCUUGCCAUCGGAUGUGCCCAGAUGGGAUUAGCUAGUAGGUGGGGUAACGGCUCACCUAGGCGACGAUCCCUAGCUGGUCUGAGAGGAUGACCAGCCACACUGGAACUGAGACACGGUCCAGACUCCUACGGGAGGCAGCAGUGGGGAAUAUUGCACAAUGGGCGCAAGCCUGAUGCAGCCAUGCCGCGUGUAUGAAGAAGGUCUUCGGGUUGUAAAGUACUUUCAGCGGGGAGGAAGGGAGUAAAGUUAAUACCUUUGCUCAUUGACGUUACCCGCAGAAGAAGCACCGGCUAACUCCGUGCCAGCAGCCGCGGUAAUACGGAGGGUGCAAGCGUUAAUCGGAAUUACUGGGCGUAAAGCGCACGCAGGCGGUUUGUUAAGUCAGAUGUGAAAUCCCCGGGCUCAACCUGGGAACUGCAUCUGAUACUGGCAAGCUUGAGUCUCGUAGAGGGGGGUAGAAUUCCAGGUGUAGCGGUGAAAUGCGUAGAGAUCUGGAGGAAUACCGGUGGCGAAGGCGGCCCCCUGGACGAAGACUGACGCUCAGGUGCGAAAGCGUGGGGAGCAAACAGGAUU